rnacentral:rRNA from 1 species
CCUACGGGAGGCAGCAGUGAGGAAUAUUGGUCAAUGGACGAGAGUCUGAACCAGCCAAGUAGCGUGAAGGAUGACUGCCCUAUGGGUUGUAAACUUCUUUUACAUGGGAAUAAAAUGUUCCACGUGUGGGAUUUUGUAUGUACCAUAUGAAUAAGGAUCGGCUAACUCCGUGCCAGCAGCCGCGGUAAUACGGAGGAUCCGAGCGUUAUCCGGAUUUAUUGGGUUUAAAGGGAGCGUAGGUGGAUUGUUAAGUCAGUUGUGAAAGUUUGCGGCUCAACCGUAAAAUUGCAGUUGAAACUGGCAGUCUGGAGUACAGUAGAGGUGGGCGGAAUUCGUGGUGUAGCGGUGAAAUGCUUAGAUAUCACGAAGAACUCCGAUUGCGAAGGCAGCUCACUGGACUGCAACUGACACUGAGGCUCGAAAGUGUGGGUAUCAAACAGGAUUAGAUACCCCUGUAGUC